rnacentral:tRNA from 1 species
ACCUGGCUGGCUCAAUUGGAAGAUCAUGGGACUCUUGAUCUUGGGGUCGUGAGUUCGAGUCCCACGCUGGGUG